rnacentral:misc_RNA from 1 species
ACCAGGGGGCUCAUUCAUUUGACCAUAUACAAGAGCGCACUUGCUUUCACUUUGCUUUUCACCAAGCUUAAUAACACCACUUUCAAUCAUUUCCCUGUACAAAUCAUUGCCCUCACGAGUACGUUCACCAACACCAGCAAAGACGGAGAAACCACCAUGUGCCUUUGCAACGUUGUUAAUCAGUUCCAUAAUGAGCACGGUCUUUCCCACACCAGCACCACCAAAAAGCCCAAUCUUUCCUCCCCUUUGGUAAGGGGCAAGAAGAUCAACAACCUUGAUA